rnacentral:lncRNA from 1 species
CCUUCGGGGCGCGAGAUGGGCCCCGGCGGGCUGCAGGCGGCGGGCGCGCGUGUAAAGUUACGCCGGCUGCCCGGAAGUGACCGGUAGAAAACGGGGGGCGAGUCUCCUGCUUAAAGCUCUGCUGUGCCUUGUUGGUGACCCGCGGAAUAACCGGGUGCAGCACCCUCGUUUGCGAGUGUUAAAGAGCGUCCUGGAAAUGCGGCUGUUAAUGCUGUUCCGUCUGUAAAGUGCCAUCGGCUAUGGUUUUCUCAUAGGAAGACCAUUUUGAAUCAAUGUCAGGCACUUCCAGUUGUGUCCCUAGUGUAGUGUCCUUAGGGCUUUUUUGUUUGUUUUUUAGCAAGAUAGAAUUUAAAGUUCUGUACAGAAAAUAUCUUCUCAUUGCAUGACCCUAGUAUCCGGCAGUACACAAACAGGCCAGGAACUGUGGCAGGCGAAGUGCAAUUGUUGCUUUUACUGUUCACUAGGAGUUCRGAUGUACGGACACCUAACUUUUUAUUUAUCUGAAUUGUGUGGGAAUUUAUGUGAAUAAAGUUGAUUUUCCAGAURAUAAAUACAGCUGAAUAGCUCCAACUGUUAUUUAUGCCCUCUUUUGCCACCAUGGUAGCUUAGUAUCUCACAGUCAUUAAUAUAUUUUUAUCAUCACAAUAUUCCUGUAAGACAGGGAAAUGUAACCUGAUUUCACAGAAAAAUAGCUGAAGCAGAAAUCAAAAAAAAGAAAAAGAAAAUCACAGGUAGUCUCUGSUCGGUUUGAGAACUGAAACAAGGCCUUAUGCAUCUAGGACAGUGAGUCUUACKGCCCUUUAUUCAUGGCAGUUUUUGUGGUCUCAAAUAUUUUAUCUACUGUACUGCAGCUUUGACUGUAUAAUCACAUCCUUUCAAUGGUUCCUUUUAUCAGUCAGAAUUCGGGGGUUUGCGUUGCUGUUACGAUCUACCCAUGUUGGUCUUAUUUUGCAAAGUUGCAGCCCAGGGAUCAAGAGGAGCAUUUUCAUGCUCUCAUGCCACACCAGCACUUCAGUGAGCAGGGUGUGAACUCCGCCACCUCUCUGGAGGAGCUCUGAGGGCUUUUUUGAGGUUGUGAGAAGAUACCAAGAGAGAGUGUGGAGCAGCAGAGAGCACUUGUCUUGCUGCAUUGCCCUUUUUGCUGCCUCCAUAACCAUCCUGAGUCACCACUAAGGAACUUGUUACGCCAGACUGCCAGGUUAAGUUGGCAUAUUUGAAGAACAGCAGGCGAGAGAAGUGCUGAUCAUUAUGAGAUUGGGUUGGGUAGAGUGAUGGAGGGCAARAGAGACAGGGUGCAGCUCUGGGAAUGCUUGGUUCGUGGGUGAAGCUGAGAGCCAAAGUUGGGAUUACGCAGUCCAGGGUGUCUUGUGUUUGGAGAUGGAGGGACAGAAUUAAGCCUUAUACUAACAGUGAUGUUACCAUUAUUUUUCCUAUUCAAUUAUUAGUUGUUAUUUCAAGCCAAGAUUGACCUGUAAUUCUUCUUACAAUAAAAUAUGUCCUUCACUUUGGUUCA